AAGCAAAUAAGGGCGUAUGGUGGAUGCCUUGACUCUAAGAGGCGAUGAAGGACGUGGUAAGCUGCGAUAAGCCAGGGGGAACUGCACACGAGUAAUAUAUCCCUGGAUUUCCGAAUGGGACAACCUGUUACACUGAAGGUGUGACACUCCAGCAAUGGAGAGCCAACCCGGGGAACUGAAACAUCUAAGUACCCGGAGGAAAAGAAAAUAAUAAUGAUUCCCUGAGUAGUGGCGAGCGAAACGGGAAGAGCCCAAACCAUAGUGGCGUGCUGCUGUGGGGUUAUAGGACUGCAUUUAGAAUUACUCAUCAAACUGAAUCAUCUGGAAAGAUGAGCCAUAGCGGGUGAAAGCCCUGUAGGUAUAAAUUGAGUAGGACGAGCAGUAUCCUGAGUAAGGCGGGACCGGAGAAAUCCUGCCUGAAUUUGCCGGCACCAUCCGGUAAGGCUAAAUACUCCUUAGAGAUCGAUAGUGAACCAGUACCGUAAGGGAAAGGUGAAAAGCACCCCAAACAGGGGAGUGAAAUAGUACCUGAAACCGUGCGCCUACA
rnacentral:rRNA from 1 species